AGGGCACCACCAGGAGUGGAGCCUGCGGCUUAAUUUGACUCAACACGGGAAACCUCACUAGGCUCAGACACUAGAAGGAUUGACAGAUUGAGAGCUCUUUCUUGAUUUGGUGGGUGGUGGUGCAUGGCCGUUCUUAGUUGGUGGAGCGAUUUGUCUGGUUAAUUCCGAUAACGAACGAGACUCUGUCCUGCUAAAUAGUUUCCGCGUCCUUUGUUGCGCGGGAAAUUCUUCUUAGAGGGACUGGCGGCGUCUAGCCGCACGAGAUUGAGCAAUAACAGGCCUGUGAUGCCCUUAGGUGUUCUGGGCCGCACGCGCGCUACACUGAAGGGAUCAGCGUGUCUUCCCUUCCCGAGAGGGACGGGUAACCCGCUGAACCCCCUUCGUGGUAGGGAUCGGGGCUUGCAAUUAUUCCCCGUGAACCAGGAAUUCCCAGUAAGCGCAAGUCAUAAGCUUGCGUUGAUUACGUCCCUGCCCUUUGUACACACCGCCCGUCGCUACUACCGAUUGAACGUUUUAGUG
rnacentral:rRNA from 1 species